CCUACGGGAGGCAGCAGUAAGGAAUAUUGGUCAAUGGACGCAAGUCUGAACCAGCCAUGCCGCGUGAAGGAUGACGGCCCUCUGGGUUGUAAACUUCUUUUAUCUGGGACGAAAAAAGGAAACUCUUUUCCACUUGACGGUACCAGAGGAAUAAGCACCGGCUAACUCCGUGCCAGCAGCCGCGGUAAUACGGAGGGUGCAAGCGUUAUCCGGAUUUACUGGGUUUAAAGGGUGCGUAGGUGGGUCUGUAAGUCCGUGGUGAAAUCUCCGAGCUUAACUUGGAAACUGCCAUGGAUACUAUAGGUCUUGAAUAUUGUGGAGGUCAGCGGAAUAUGUCAUGUAGCGGUGAAAUGCUUAGAUAUGACAUAGAACACCAAUUGCGAAGGCAGCUGGCUACGCAUAUAUUGACACUGAGGCACGAAAGCGUGGGGAUCAAACAGGAUUAGAUACCCUGGUAGUCCACGCCCUAAACUAUGGAUACUCGACAUACGCGAUACACAGUGUGUGUCUGAGCGAAAGCAUUAAGUAUCCCACCUGGGAAGUACGAUCGCAUGAUUGAAACUCAAAGGAAUUGACGGA
rnacentral:rRNA from 1 species